CCCAUUCGUAAGUUGUAACUCCCCACUCUCCAGUACCCCUGAACUCUUUUCUUCCUCUUGUUCUUCGACCAUGUCUCAUAUAAAAAGAAAACACCCAUACUUCAAAUCUCUCUACAGGUUCGAGGUAAAGAAUCAAAUAAUGUCUUCACCGAAAUAUACUUUAUUGAGAAGAGAUCUGGGAAAUGCAAGGUUAGAAGAUUUACUGGUGUCGAAACUAGGGAUUGUUUGCGAAAAUCUUAUUGAUGAAGAUAACCUCGUUUUUGGUUGAUUCUAAUGGGAGAUUGAAUGAAGAAGUUGAUUUUGAAAUCUUUCUAAAGGUAGAAAUUAAUUUGGGACAAGGAGAACAUCAGGUAGAAAUUGAGAUUCAAGGAUUCUGAUAUGAUACUGGUAUGUAUAUCGGCGGAGAUGAAUUAUUCUUUUCUUUUUGUCAAAGUUUUCUCUUUUAAUAAAUGAAAUUAAAAUUGGUUAAUCAUCAUUGCUUAGGUGUAUUUGAAAAUGUAAGCUAGCCCAUACAAGUACUAGGGCAGGUGUUGGUGGUGCAAAGAACUUAUCUACCUUUCUCUAGGCUGGCUAUGAGGUUAUUGUAUACACUUGGUGAAUUUGAAAAGUCAUCUAUGUUUCUCAUAUCAACAGAUAUAUUUAUAGAGAAUUGCCUUCCUGUAGAUCUUUGACUUAUGAUCUUUUCGAAGUUCCGAAAGAUGGAGUUUUUUUAUGAUAUUUUUUUCUAUGUAGCCAUUAUCAUAUGCUAAACUUUAGAGAUAUAUAUAUCUGUUUUCGUGCCAAUGAAAUUAGUAGUGUUCAAUGGUCUACUACUUUUUAGUGUGGUUAUAUUAUCAAUGUGGAGAUCCCUGGGACUAUCGACGAAUCGAUGCUAAAAGGGUACCACACCAUUGGGAAGGAAUAAAAAUCAUAUAUGCUGUCUAAAAUUUGCCAAAGCUAUUGGAUGUGAAGUGGUAAACAAUGGCACCCAAGAUUUUAUUCAAGGAAAGGGUUUAAUUAUGUAUCCAUUUCAGUCUCUCGUAAUUCGAUUGUACAUUUGGUUUUCUUAAAUUUCCUGUCACUCUAUUCAUUACAUUGGAGUUGUCAUUUUUCCAGUGACAUCACUUAUCUCCCUCUGGAUUUUCAUUUUCAGCAUGUGGUGCAGGCUGUGCUUUCACAAAUUAUUAAGGUUUUGCUAAAUGGCAUUGGAAGUGAAUACUGUGUCGGAAGAUACUUGUUGAUGGGCAUAGGAAGCGAACGAAUGCUACAUCAUUGGCAUUGGAAGUGAAUUCUGUGUCGGAAGAUACUUGUUGAUGGACAUUAGAAGAGAAGGAAUGCUGCGUCAUUCAUUGGUUCACUCAUUUUAAGUUUAUGUUUUAAUGUUAAAUUAGAUUGUUGGAUGGAAACUCAACAAGUCAACAUUAGACUUGCAUUUCUAUUUUUAUUUAGCUUUUCUUGUUGUUUGGAUGUAUGAAUUAUGACCUUAUAAAUAUUUGUUUGAA